GGUGCCAAAAUUAGGCUUGGAGAAAGGCAGCUGCUGGAAGUGGACGCAGACUGAACUCCAACAUAAGUGCCAUAACUCUAGAUCUAAUAACAAUAAUAAUAAAUAGGGAAGGUUCAGAUUCGCUACUUGUUCAUCACGGGGAGAAACGAUCUUGCAUUUCUCCGUUUUCUCAGCGGAGGAGAAGUGAUGUUGCAUCUUCUCCUCUCUUAUCAGCGGAGGAGAAGCGAUCUGGUUUUUUCUUCUCUCUUCCACCGAAUCCCAUCCAAAGAGUUAAACAUGGCUGCUGCGGUUCCCAUGCCGACCAUCCAAGCUGCCCCACCAUCGCCUUAUAACGACCAGAAAACGAAACAUCGAAGAGAAGAUACAAUUGAUUUAAGAUCUAUGUUGAGGGCCAUAUAUAAUCAUAAGAAUCAUGAGUUCACCAUCACCAAAGGCGACUGAUCCAAGAUCGCGCGCGCCAACAGUGUUCGUCAUCAUCGGCUUCUCACAUAUCAAAACCAAUAUAGAUUUACAGAGAUCCAUAAACCACAACCAACAGAGAUAGAGAUAAAGCGAUCAAGAAAAGAAGAAAAAACGUGGAGUAAAUUAGAGGAAAAAACCUUCGGCGUCGGAGAGAAAAGAAAUAGAGGAAGGGAAGAGGGAAACCUUUCCGUAGCGCCAUUUCCCGCUCUGUCCCCAAGACGAAGCAUGGCCUCAUGAACUACCUGGAAGACCUACAGAAUUUGAAUGCGCCACGCCUCGGCCCAAGGUGUUUCCAUGCGACGGCACCGACCUUGACCGGGCCGGUCUGCAAAAGAUGUUUCUCGA
rnacentral:lncRNA from 1 species